rnacentral:rRNA from 1 species
UACAGAGGGUGCGAGCGUUGUCCGGAAUCACUGGGCGUAAAGGGCGCGUAGGCGGCUUGAUAAGCGUGCGGUGAAAGCCCGGGGCUCAACCCCGGGUCGGCCGUGCGAACUGUCGAGCUGGAGCACUGUAGAGGCAGGUGGAAUUCCGGGUGUAGCGGUGGAAUGCGUAGAUAUCAGGAGGAACACCGGUGGCGAAGGCGGCUCUCUGGACGGCUACUGACGCUGAGACGCGAAAGCGUGGGGAGCAAACAGG